CCGCAGCCGGGCUCGGGCAGGAGGAGCCCGGAGCGGAGCGGCGGAACGGGGAACAGACCGUGCGAGGAAAGCGCCAAACCCCUCUGCGAGAGUUUUGGGAGCAAGGAGGGGUGGGAGGAAUAAAUAGCGAGGAGUUGUGCACCAGGUGGGCUAGAUAAAAACAAAAGGAAGAUGAUGGUUUUCUGGGAGAAGCGACUGAAAAGAGUGACAAUCAGGGCUGUUGGCAGUUAGAUAUGAGUAGGAGGAAGUCAAAAUGAGUAACACCUAACGGAGUGACGAAGCAGAAUUUCCAAAGAAUACAGCUGUGAGAAGCAUCAACACCAGUAACUUGAGGAAUUAUGUAUUUUUUUUCCUACUCUGGCUAGUCAGUGAUUAUGAAAGAGUAAUGAGAAGGCUGAUUUGCAUGAGAAAUACCCUUAGGAUAAUGCAGCAUUUUGUUUCACAAGUUUUUAGGUUCAAUAAUCCUGGUAACGUUGUUUUCCAAUAGCCUUCCCCUGUCCAGCACCUCUGAAUUCUUGACACUGCAAAGCUGUGGAAAUGUGAAAACAUCCUGAAGGACACAGUUCUUCAUGGGCUUUACCUAGGCAGAAGUGAAGUACACGGCAACUGAUGAGCACGGAGCAUCUGUGGCAAAGGAAAAAAACACCGUCUUCAAAUUUUGAGGAGCAAACACGACCCUUUCUUUUUCUACUGUUUUCCACCCACAUUCAGUUAGUGUGAGAGAAAAAAGAAAAUUAAAAAAAAAAAAAAAAACAGAAAUACAGAAAUAUUUUCUUUGCAGGGAAGGACCGAAGAAUGUAUUGUUCUCUCAUUCACAAGCAAGUGCUUUCAUCACCUCUACUUUCAUUUUGCUCUACAUCAUAAGUGACAGCGAGUUUUCUGUAUUUUGCUGGUAUAACUUAGAAGAGGUCACGAUUCUAAAAGUUCUCCUGCAGAACUGAGUCUUCUGUUUGGAUGUAUGCAAAUUCUACAGCACUUAUGCCACUUGUACUUUGCAGAUAGGUAUAAGCGUAUGCAAAAAUGGAGAUUAUAUGUGUACAUGCAAGUUUUCAGAAUUAAUCAACCACGAAUGUACAAAAAAUACAAAUGCUUUGCUGAAAUUUGGCUCAAAAUAGAUUUAUGAAUUAGCCUGCUAUAGCAGCUUUCACUCAAGGUUGCCAAAUACAAUCCAUUUUUAUAAAUAAUUAAAAACUUAUAAGAUUUGCAUGAUGAUGGGGCUUGAAGCAACCUGGUCUAGUAAAAGGUGUCCCUGCCCAUGGGAGUGGCAUUGGAAGGAGAUGGUCUUUAAGGUCUC